rnacentral:lncRNA from 1 species
AUGGUAUUUACCAUUAGCAGCCCUGGAAAAGUUCAGCAGACAAGGAAAAUAUACCUUAGUGCUAGCCAUGUGGAAGCAAAUGAAGUAUGUUUUCUACUAGCCAGGUUUCCUGUGAACACCAGGCCUUUGCAGUUGGUGACCACACCAGGAUCAUGGUCUCAUGCAAGAGUGCACUUGCCAUCAGGAAGUGAUUAUGACUCUUCCAACCUCAAGGGAGCAGGUAUAGGAUGUGACAACUGAGUAUCAGGAGAACACUGCAAUGGCUGGAAGAAGGCUCUCUCCAGCAAGACUGUCUUGGAAAUUGCUGAAUACCCCACUGCAUAUCGAACAGUGGAAUUUUCAUAGGCAAGUCCCCCCUGCUCAAAGUGGGCAUUAGAUGUGUGUUAAAUGUUCACUGCUAGAAUUGUCAUAAUGCUUUCCUAAGUCAGACUUCCAUUUCUUUUUAAAAUACAUUUAAAACUUUUUAUUUUGAUAGAAUUUUAGAUUUACAGAAGAGUUACAAAGAUAGUAUAGCUUAACUCAGCUUUUCCUUUAUUUUUUAUUUUUAACUUUAAGUUAAGUUCAGGGGUGUCGUGGUACAUAUACACCACGGAAUAGUUUACACCCAUUAAAAAGAAUGAGAUCAUGUCCUUUGCAGGGACAUGGAUAGAGCUGGAGGCCAUUAUCCUUAGCAAACUAACACAGGAACAGAAAACCAAAUGUGGCAUGUUCUCACUUAUGAGUGGGAGCUAAAUGAUGAAAACACAUAGACACAUAGAGGGGAACAACAGACUUCCAUUUCUAUCUACCUCUUUCUCUGCACAAUUCUUCUGUCUUUCCAGUCAUUGUCUUUGUUGUUGUCCUGACCACUCUUUUGAAGUCUUUCUCUUCUCAGUCUGUACAUAGUGCCUGAUGAGGAAGUGAACAAAAUAGAGGAGGGUGCCCUGGACUUCAAAGGUAGCCCAUUCAGUUUUCUCCUAUGUAUGAAAACAAACUGUAUUUUUUCAUCUGUGUGGUGAGAAUAGCACUUUCAGGUCUAAAUUCACAAAGGCACAUCAUAUUAGCCCUUUUUGUGUGUGGUAAGAACACUGAAUAUGAGGUCUACCCUCUCAACACAUUUUAAAGUACACAAUACAAUGUUAUUGUAUAUCAGAUAGAUUAAGAAAAAAACUCUUGGCAGCAAAAUAAAUCUUCAAAUAGUAUGGAAGUAAUGGUGAUUCCACACAGAGUCAAUUUACCAGGAGGUCCUGUUGAACUGCAAAUGACAGACAGCCCAACAGAAACUGACUUAAGCAAAAGGAAUUUGUUGUUUUAAAAGAAAGGUCAAUGGUGAGGCUUGUUUA